rnacentral:rRNA from 2 species
AACGAACGCUGGCGGCAGGCCUAACACAUGCAAGUCGAGCGAGACCUUCGGGUCUAGCGGCGGACGGGUGAGUAACGCGUGGGAACGUGCCCUUCUCUACGGAAUAGUCCCGGGAAACUGGGUUUAAUACCGUAUACGCCCUUCGGGGGAAAGAUUUAUCGGAGAAGGAUCGGCCCGCGUUAGAUUAGGUAGUUGGUGGGGUAAUGGCCUACCAAGCCUACGAUCUAUAGCUGGUUUGAGAGGAUGAUCAGCCACACUGGGACUGAGACACGGCCCAGACUCCUACGGGAGGCAGCAGUGGGGAAUCUUAGACAAUGGGGGCAACCCUGAUCUAGCCAUGCCGCGUGAGUGAUGAAGGCCUUAGGGUCGUAAAGCUCUUUCGCUGGGGAAGAUAAUGACUGUACCCAGUAAAGAAACCCCGGCUAACUCCGUGC